rnacentral:rRNA from 1 species
GACGAACGCUGGCGGCGUGCUUAACACAUGCAAGUCGAACGGAAAGGCCCUGCUUUUGUGGGGUGCUCGAGUGGCGAACGUGUGAGUAACACGUGAGUAACCUGCCCUUGACUUUGGGAUAACUUCAGGAAACUGGGGCUAAUACCGGAUAGGAGCUCCUGCUGCAUGGUGUGGGUUGGAAAGUUUCGGCGGUUGGGGAUGGACUCGCGGCUUAUCAGCUUGUUGGUGGGGUAGUGGCUUACCAAGGCUUUGACGGGUAGCCGGCCUGAGAGGGUGACCGGCCACAUUGGGAAUGAGAUAGGGCCGAGACACAUACGGGAGGCAGCAGUGGGGAAUAAUGCACAAUGGGCGGAGGCGUGAUGCAGCAACGCCGCGUGCGGGAUGACGGCCUUCGGGUUGUAAACCGAUUUCGCCUGUGACGAAGCGUGAGUGGGGGUAAUGGGGAAAGAAGCACCGGCAAACUACGU